UUUUUUUUUUUUUUUUUUUUCUGUCUUUUGUGUUCGUGAGUGAGUCCUUCGUUGAUGUUAUCAACUUUUUGGUCAUCGGAUCAAACAUUUUGGUUCCUGGAUCAUGCACAAUAGGAAGUCAUAUCAUAAGCAAUUAUUGUUAACUUCUGAUCUAACAGCCAAAAAAUUUAAUCAAAGAGCGCAAAACUUAUAAGCAUCGAAAAUAACUUGAUGCUUCUAAAAGACAGUUUGGUUGCAUAUAAUUAGAAAUACAGUAUAAUUAAAUAUGCAUAUAUCUUUGUUAGAACUAUAAGUAAUUCAUUUUGAAGGUUCAUUAUUUUAUAUAUUUGGUCGUGUAAAUAUCUUCAAUGUAAGAAAAAAAAUCUAUUUUAUAUUUAAAAAUAAAGAGGAAGGUAAGCUUAUUUUUUGCUUAAAAUUAUCAUGUCCAACAGCUGCAAUCGAGUAUAUUCAUAUAGUUCUAGCUGCAGCCAGUUGAAUUCAAAUGUAAUUUUUUCUUACUUUGGGGUUAUUUGUGGACUGGUGGUUUAGUUAGUUUUUAUAAAAAAAUGUAAUAUUGUAUAAAUUUUAACAUUCAGUUAGCAUAUAUUCCUGUGAUUCUAUCAGAAACGUAAAAGUCUAAUUAAUUCUAAUAUCUUUCUUCCAACUUCUUUCAGCCGAAAAGGAUUUGUAUAUAUUUCAAUACCAAAUGGAGUCUAUAUCCACUAA
rnacentral:lncRNA from 1 species